rnacentral:lncRNA from 12 species
GGGGGGGGGGGGGGGGGGGGGGGGGGGGGGGGGGGGGGGGGGGGGGGGGGGGGGGGGGCUGGGAUCCCAAAUCCUUUUAAUCUCAAAUCCCAAAUCCCUGGAUUGCUCCAGGAUCCCAAAUCCCUGGAUUGCUCAAGGAUCCCAAAUCCCUGCAUUGCUCCAGGAUCUUAAAUCCUUUUAAUCUCAAAUUCCAAAUCCCUACAUUGCUCUGGGAUUCCAAAUCCUUUUUAUCUCAAAUCCCAAAUCCCUGCCCGCAGCCUCCAGCCCCAUUUGCGACCCCAAAGACCCCAAAUGUCCCAGUCCUUCCAAAAUCCAACCCUGGGGAAUCUGGAAGGUGUGAGAGCAGGGAGAGAGGGCUGGGAAUACUGGGAAUUCUGGGAAUGUUGCUGGGAUCCAUCCUGCACACAGGGAAUCGAUCCCACAGGACACCCAAAAUCCAUGUUGGGAUCACCCCCAGUUUGGGACACAGAGGGGUCAGUGGGAGGCACCUGGGGGUGAAUCCAGGGAGUGGGAAUGCUGGAGUUGGCUCCUCUGGAAUGUUUGGGAGUCCAGGCUUGGGAAGAGGAAGGAAAUCCGGGAAUUUGGGGGUUUUAGGCAGGAUCCCAACCAGGGGAGCUGGGCUGGGCCAGGCCCUGCUUGGGGCCACCAAGGGUUGGAUCCAGUGUUGGAUCCCUCUGGCUCUCCUGGAAUUCCCAGUGUUGGAUCCAGUGCUGGAUCCCUUCAGCUCUCUGGGAAUUCCCAGUCCUUCCAGUUCUCCUGGAGUUCCCAGUGUUGGAUCCCUCCAGAAAUUCCCAGAGCUGGAUCUCUCUGGCUCUCCAGAAAUUCCUAGAGCUGGAUCCAGUGUUGGAUUCCUCCAGCUCUGCAGGAAUUUUGGGAGCUGGAUCUCUCUGGGGAUUCCCAGAGCUGGAUCUCGCUGGUUGUCUGGAAAUUCCCAGAGCUGGAUCCAGUGUUAGAUAUCUUUGGUUCUCUGGGAAUUCCCAGUGUUGGAUCCUUUGGGAAUUCCAAGAGCUGGAUCCCUCCAGGAAUUCCCAGAGUUGGAUCCAUCUGGGUCUCCAGGAAUUCCCAGUGUUGGAUCCCUCCAGGAAUUCCCAGAGUUGGAUCCCUCCAGCUCUCCUGGAAUUCCCAGUGUUGGAUUCCUCUAGGAAUUCUCAGAGCUGGAUCCCUCUGGGGAUUCCCGAUCUGGGUCUCCAGGAAUUCCCAGUGUUGGAUCCCUCCAGGAAUUCCCAGAGUUGGAUCCCUCCAGCUCUCCUGGAAUUCCCAGUGUUGGAUUCCUCUAGGAAUUCUCAGAGCUGGAUCCCUCUGGGGAUUCCCAGUGUUGGAUCUAGAGCUGGAUCCCUCUGGUUUUCCAGGAAUUCCCAGAGCUGGAUCCCUCAGGGAAUUCCCAGAGCUGGAUCCCUCAGGGAAUUCCCAGAGCUGGAUCCCUCUGAUUCUCCUGGAAUUCCCAGAGCUGGAUCCCUCUGGCUCUUCUGGAAUUCCCAGAGCUGGAUCCCUCUGGGGAUUCCCAGUGUUGGAUCUAGAGCUGGAUCCCUCUGGUUUUCCAGGAAUUCCCAGAGCUGGAUCCCUCAGGGAAUUCCCAGAGCUGGAUCCCUCAGGGA